rnacentral:rRNA from 1 species
UGGGGAAUAUUGCACAAUGGGCGCAAGCCUGAUGCAGCCAUGCCGCGUGUAUGAAGAAGGCCUUCGGGUUGUAAAGUACUUUCAGUCGGGAGGAAGGUGGUAAGGUUAAUAACCUUAUCAAUUGACGUUACCGACAGAAGAAGCACCGGCUAACUCCGUGCCAGCAGCCGCGGUAAUACGGAGGGUGCAAGCGUUAAUCGGAAUUACUGGGCGUAAAGCGCACGCAGGCGGUUGAUUGAGUCAGAUGUGAAAUCCCCGGGCUUAACCCGGGAAUUGCAUCUGAUAUUGGUCAGCUAGAGUCUUGUAGAGGGGGGUAGAAUUCCAGGUGUAGCGGUGAAAUGCGUAGAGAUCUGGAGGAAUACCGGUGGCGAAGGCGGCCCCCUGGACAAAGACUGACGCUCAGGUGCGAAAGCGUGGGGAGCAAACAGG